GCUGGAGGGCCCUGGUGGCUGCAGUCCCUGAGCCCACAGAGACAGAGAGAGCCCCGGCCCGAGUGGCCUUUGGCCCCUUGUCCUGAAUUUGGGGUGAGCCUGGGAGUGUGUGGAAGAUGCUGGAAUUGGCUCUCUGGGUGUGUGCUGAGCUCUGGCUGCAGGGGACUGUCAGGCCUUGGUGGCUCUGUUCCCUGCUGUCCAUUCCCUGGCCUGAAUUCCUUGCAGCUCCCAGCUGGGGAAACUUGGGAG